rnacentral:misc_RNA from 1 species
UGAUGCACUAACUACAAACAUUUUGGAGCUGAUUAUUACUUAUAAGCUAAUGAAAAGAAAAAUAAGAAACAGUGGAGAUAGAAUUAAAAAUAUAACACAAAAAUCCAAAAGUCGUAUGAGGGAGACAGAGGGAGAGAUGCUGAUGAUCAUAAAGGAAAGAAAACAAACAUCAGCAGACAAUAAACCACAUAUAAUAGGCAUAUCACUUAGACUUAAAAUUUAAAUGUGUAUAGUUGUGGGCACUACAAAAACCUAAGAAUCGCAGGAACACACUUGAAAUAAAAGUGACAUGAAUGGGAAGUUUGUCAAAACAGAAUUGAUAAAAGUUUGGUGUUCUAAAUUCUUUUAUAUUUACUUCAAUCAUUACAAAUAAAAAAUAUAAAAGCAAGAAUAAGA